GAGGAUUUGGCUCAGUGGUAGAGCGCUUGCCUAGCAAGCACAAGGCCCUGGGUUCGGUCCCCAGCUCC
rfam:Rattus norvegicus chromosome 2, whole genome shotgun sequence.